GGGGAUAUAGUUUAAAAGCUUAGGUAAAACAUAUAAUUUGCAUUUAUAAAUUAUUGGUUCGAGUCCAAUUAUCUCCA
rnacentral:tRNA from 1 species